rnacentral:rRNA from 1 species
GCGAUAAGCCAUGAUUUCUGGAAUGAUUCAUGACUAAAACCUAUAUGGCCCCUGGAUUGGACUGCGGCCGAUCAGGCUGUUGGUGAGGUAAUGGCCCACCAAACCUAUUACCGGUACGGGCUCUGAGAGGAGGAGCCCGGAGAUGGGCACUGAGACAAGGGCCCAGGCCCUAUGGGGCGCAGCAGGCGCGAAACCUCUGCAAUAGGCGAAAGCUUGACAGGGUUACUCUGAGUGAUUUCCGCUAAGGGAAUCUUUUGGCACCUCUAAAAAUGGUGCAGAAUAAGGGGUGGGCAAGUCUGGUGUCAGCCGCCGCGGUAAUACCAGCACCCCGAGUGGUCGGGACGAUUAUUGGGCCUAAAGCAUCCGUAGCCGGUCCUGCAAGUCUUCCGUUAAAUCCAGCUGCUUAACAGAUGGGCCGCGGGAGAUACUACAGGGCUAGGAGGCGGGAGAGGCAAGCGGUACUUUAUGGGUAGGGGUAAAAUCCGCUGAUCCAUAGAAGACCACCAGUGGCGAAGGCGGCUUGCCAGAACGCGCUCGACGGUGAGGGAUGAAAGCUGGGGGAGCAAACCGGAUUAGAUACCCGGGUAGUCCCAGCUGUAAACGAUGCAGACUCGGUGAUGGGUUGGCCUCGCGCCUGCCCAGUGCCGCAGGGAAGCCGUUAAGUCUGCCGCC